AUUGAACGCUGGCGGCAGGCCUAACACAUGCAAGUCGAGCGGAUGAAGGGAGCUUGCUCCUGGAUUCAGCGGCGGACGGGUGAGUAAUGCCUAGGAAUCUGCCUGGGAGUGGGGGAUAACGUCCGGAAACGGGCGCUAAUACCGCAUACGUCCUGAGGGAGAAAGUGGGGGAUCUUCGGACCUCACGCUAUCAGAUGAGCCUAGGUCGGAUUAGCUAGUUGGUGGGGUAAAGGCCUACCAAGGCGACGAUCCGUAACUGGUCUGAGGGGAUGAUCAGUCACAGUGGAAAUAGGACACGGUCCAAACUCCUACGGGAGGCAGCGGUGGGGAAAAUUGGACAAGGGCGAAAGCCUGAUCCAGCCAUGCCGCGUGUGUGAAGAAGGUCUUCGGAUUGUAAAGCACUUUAAGUUGGGAGGAAGGGCAGUAAGUUAAUACCUUGCUGUUUUGACGUUACCAACAGAAUAAGCACCGGCUAACUUCGUG
rnacentral:rRNA from 1 species